UUUCGGAUUCGGACAAAAGCCCCGUUGCGGAAGUUUGAGCGCCGUGUCACCCAACCGGCCCACCGUGGUUCCAACACACUCUCUCUCUCUCUCUCUUCGGGAUCUGCUUGGGUUUUGUUCAGCUGAUUUUAUGUUUGAAGUUUUCAUGUUGUGCUUAAUAUUCCUCCGGCUUUAAACUCAAAUCUUUGGUGGCAAGAUGAGAACCUGUCAUACAGAGUGAGAGUGGUGGAAGAAGAGAGUGAAUAAUAAACAUUUUGCCUUUUUGGUAGUCAAGUGUCUGUGGAAUUGUAAUUUAAGUGGGUUCAAAUAGUGUUGAUCAGUUAUGGAACAAGGUGUGGGUUCAGAGUCUAUUCCUACACCGGGUUCUAUGGAUAAAUCUAAGAUUUUUGAUAUAAGGCCAUUGCGAUGUCUUGUUCCAACAUUCCCAUCCUCUCCUGGCACAUCCGCCUUCUCAUCUCCCCAAACUUCACCCUUCAUGUGUUUCCCUCCAACUGGUCCUUUUCCACCUGGGGUUUCUCCAUUUUAUCCCUUUCUUGUCCCAGCAGAGUCUCUAAGGUCUGCGGUACCCAAUCAAGCAGGGCACAGUGGCUUUAACAAUGCAAUCCCAUCACCUGUUCCCCUAACUUCAUUUAGGCCAACCUCGACAAAGAAGUCUCGGGCUGCAAAUGGAAGCACUGGGCCAUCCAGAAAGAGUUCUAGAUAUCGUACAGCUGGUAUCCAUUUGGAUGAAGAUGGUUAUAGUGACUCCCAACAUCAGACUGACCAGUAUCUGAGUGGCUUCAGUAUGCAUGUCGCUGAUGCAGAAGAUACCGGUAGUAAGGUGAGGAGAAGGAAAGGAAAAUCCGAGAUGAGGACAAGGAGUGGCCGAGAGGUUUCUCCUGGUGUUGACAUUGACUUAGUAGCCAAUAGUUUCCUGGAAUCUUUCAAUCUUGCGGAGUUCGAUUCAGUUAGGCAAGCCGAUGGUGAUACCCAGUCGAUUAGAUACAUUUUAAUGAUAUUUGAUUUGCUCCGGAGAAGGAUAACCCAAGUUGAGGAAGGAAGGGAGGCAGCUCCAGGGGGAUUAAGACGUCCAGACUUAAAAGCUGGCGCUAUCUUGAUGAAUAAAGGAGUUAGAACAAACACCAAGAAGAGGAUUGGAGCUGUACCAGGGAUUGAAAUAGGGGACAUCUUUUUUUUCAGGAUGGAAAUGUGUUUGGUGGGUUUGCAUGCUCCAUCAAUGGCUGGGAUUGAUUUUAUGAGUUUCAAGCUUGUUCAAGGCGAAGAUUCUUUGGCUAUAAGCAUUGUCUCAUCUGGAGGAUACGAGGAUAAUGUUGACGAUGGGGAUGUGUUGAUUUACAGUGGCCAAGGUGGAAAUAUUUACAGAAAAGAUAGAUUUGUAGAUAUAACGGAUCAGAAACUUGAAAGGGGUAAUCUAGCAUUGGAGAAGAGUUUGCAUCGAGGCAACCAUGUUCGAGUUAUUCGCGGUGUGAAAGAUGUGGCAAAUCCAACUGGGAAGAUAUACCUCUACGAUGGCCUUUAUAAAAUCCAGCAGUCUUGGGCGGAGAAAGGGAGGUCAGGUGUCAAUGUUUUCAAGUACAAAUUCGUCAGAGUUCCUGGCCAGCCUGAAGCUUUUACCAUGUGGAAAUCAAUUCAGCAAUGGAAGGAAGGCAUUACGUCAAGGGUUGGGGUUAUUUUGCCAGACCUGACUUCAGGUGCAGAAAAUUUACCUGUUUCUCUUGUAAAUGACGUUGAUGAUGAAAAGGGCCCUGCUUAUUUUACAUAUUUUCCUACCCUCAAGUAUCGGAAACCGUUUCAUUCACCACAACCUUCUCGGAGCUGUAUGUGUCGUGGUGGAUGUCAACCUGGUGACUUAAACUGCUCUUGCAUUCAGAAAAAUGGAGGAGUUCUGCCUUAUACUGCACUUGGGGUUCUUUUGAUUUAUAAGGCUUUAAUACACGAGUGUGGUUCUUCUUGUUUAUGCCCUCCCAAUUGCCGUAACAGGAUGUCCCAGGCGGGUUUGAAAGUCCGCCUUGAGGUGUUUAGAACUAAGGAUAGAGGUUGGGGUGUAAGGUCUUGGGAUCCCAUCCGUGCAGGAGCUUUUAUCUGUGAGUACGCAGGAGAAGUCAUUGAUGUAUCUUCAGAAGAGGAGCUUGAGAGGGAAAGAGAAGAUCACUAUAUUUUCGAAGCUACUUGCACCAGUGAACCUUCAGAUGUUAUGGCUGGAAAUUCUAUUGAGUCUCCAAAAAUCCCAUUUCCCCUUGUUGUAAGUGCGAAAAAAGGUGGGAAUGUAGCUAGAUUUAUGAACCACAGCUGCACUCCAAAUCUCUAUUGGCAACCUGUGUUGCGAGAAUGUAAUAAUGAAGCUUACCUCCAUAUUGCGUUUUUCGCAAUCGGUCACAUUCCUCCUAUGAAAGAGUUGACAUAUGAUUAUGGGACAGGUCAGUCCGGCCAAGCAGGGCAGAGGAAGAAAAAAUGCCUAUGUGGUUCAUUGAAGUGCAGAGGGCAUUUUUAAUGAUGGGUGUUUUUUCAUGAAGUUGAUUGAGGAUGUUAAAGCUCAUUUGCCUCUGCAAUAAGUUUAUGGUUAAGGAGGAGCUCCAGGGAAUACUGAGUGCCUUCUGUUCUCAAUACAUUGCCCCAAGCUGUGUGGUGCUACUGGUAAUCCUAGAAUAUCAGAUUCCGUUGUAAAAUUUAGCAGAUGAUAAGAGAAUCCUUUUUUCUUGUUGAAAUAAUGUAUAAUUAUUCCAAAACAACUGUAACAUGGAUGAUGGAACUUUAGGAUUCAAAGUUUGUUUUAGUUUGUCGA